rnacentral:rRNA from 1 species
UACGAAGGGGGGCGAGCGUUGUUCGGAUUUACUGGGCGUAAAGGGCGCGCAGGCGGCGCAUUUUGUCAGGCGUGAAAGCCCCGGGCUCAACCUGGGAAUUGCAUUCGAGACUGCAUAGCUAGGAUGCGGAAGAGGGAAGUGGAAUUUCCGGUGUAGCGGUGAAAUGCGUAGAUAUACGGAAGGAACAUCAGUGGGCGAAAGCGACUUCCUGGUCCAGCAUCGACGGUUCAGGCACGAAAGCGUGGGGAGCAAACAGG